rnacentral:rRNA from 1 species
GUCUGUGGCCAUACACCAUGAACGUGACCAAUCUCAUCUGAUCUCAGAAACUAAGCAGGUUUGGGCCUGGUUAGUACUUGCAUAGAAGGAGUUCUUAUAGAAA